AUUGAACGCUGGCGGCAGGCCUAACACAUGCAAGUCGAGCGAGCGGCGGACGGGUGAGUAAUGUCUGGGAAACUGCCUGAUGGAGGGGGAUAACUACUGGAAAAGGUAGCUAAUACCGCAUACCAUCAGAUGUGCCCAGAUGGGAUUAGCUCGUGGGUGGGGUAACGGCUCACCUAGGCGACGAUCCCUAGCUGGUCUGAGAGGAUGACCAGCCUCACUGGAACUGAGACACGGUCCAGACUCCUCCAUGAAUCAUCAUUUAUAAAUAUUGCACAAUUGGCGCAAGCCUGAUCCAGCCAUGCCGCGUGUGUGAAGAAUUCCUUCGGGUUUUAAAGCACUUUCAGCGGGGAGGCGUUACCCGCAGAAGAAGCACCGGCUAACUCCGUGCCAGCAGCCGCGGUAAUAA
rnacentral:rRNA from 1 species